GGCUUUGAAUUCCGUCGAUCCAAACUGUUACACAAUCCAAAGCAUUUAACGUCAUAGCUGCUUCGUCUGUUUAGCUAACCUGGAUGAAACCACAUGUUGGAAAACCAUCCUCCGCGUAAAGCGCGCAAAACUGAACGUGACCUUGUCAGCGACAGACCAUAGUUUUGUUCUAACAUGUAUUCUAGUUAAUAACAAAUUUGAAAACCUGUAUUUUUCAGGAGCUGAACGAAUUUCAGUCUUUGACUUUUAUUGUAUUUGUAAUCCCCGAGAAAAGGAAGGGAAGACGAGAGGGGCCGGCCGGCGCUGACUUUGAACGUCGGACGUCUUCUCAAAAGGACUCAAGAUCAGGUGGACAGCACUUCCUCCUCUUUUCUGACACACCCAUUGUUGAGGGCCGAGGACAAAUGAGGUAAUACAAGCAGACACAUAGUCACUUAAAACAGUAGGGGCUGGCCGGUGGCAUGCUACAAGCCUUUCCCAUGAAGACUCUCUUUUGCAUCUGAGUGUGUUUGCUUCAAAGGUCCUGACCCUCAGAGAGAUAGUGCUUUAGGUUUACCCACUUUAAAGCAAACGCUGCAAUUCUCUCUGACAUUCAUAAACAGAGCUAUGGACGGCAAGAUCCGACCGGCCGUGAUGUCAGAAUAAUAGUCUAAAGCGAUGUUUCCCAAGCCGCCGCAGCAGCCUCUCCUGGGGCCUCCACAGCUGUUCCAUGUAUUAGAUGUAACCCAGAGCUAGCACACCUGAAUCACCUAGUUAACUAAUUAUCAAGCCCUUGGCUGCUUGAUUCAGGUGAGCCAGAUCAGGGCUACAUCUAAUACAUGGAGGUUUGAGAACCGCUGGUAUGAAGUAAACUUGGUUUUGCGUGUUUGUUUAAAUUAACUUUCUUUACAAACAUCAGUGUAAGACGAGCUGAUCCGUUUCUAAUGGACUACAUGGGUUAAACUGAAGUCAUAUACCUUAUUUUCUUAAAACAUCAGCGCAUAAACAUCGCUAAUCGGUAGGUCGAGAAAUGAAUGCAGGAACUCGAGAUUGCCACUUUAAACAUCCUACUAACUCUUAACGUGACCCUACUAUGUCAACUGAGAGCAGGGAACCUUCGUUGGGAACCUUCCCUCAGGGUUCAUAAGGUCCCUGUGGUUCCAUGUUCUGCCUGCAUUCUCACCCCCCGGCGCCUCCGUUCUGAGCCCGCCAAGAGGGAGUCCCAUAGACGCUAUGUCUCGCAGUGGAGGUGUGAUGUGUGCUGUAAUGCGUGUCUGACGUGGUAGAGUUGAAUGCACCCCUGCCAGAGGGUGUGGAGAAAUACUGAUAAUUGUAGAUGUCACAACAAGUUUCCUUCCAGGCUGUACAUAAAGGCACUGUGUAAUUGAUAUGAGGGCAAAUUUAACAUAACUUGUCACAGUUGUUGUUUCACAAGCUAGUGGGUUGUCUUACAUUUAUUAUUUAGCUAUUCGUCAUCUUCAGGCAUCCAUUUUAAUGUACUUACAUGAUAAAUUAUGUUGGUCUACGUGUUCGAUGCCAACGUGUAGGCGUGCGCGUGCGUUUGUGUGUGUGGGUCGGUUUGUGUGUGUGUGUGUGUGUGUGUGUGUGUGUGCGGGCAUGCAGAUUGAUGUGUGCCUGUACUCAUAACUGACUGCAAAGUUAUGCUCAGUUGUGUGGGUUAUCAGUUAGAUAAGUCAGGCAGUCAAAAUGUCAGUCAUCCAGUUAGUCAGUCAGUCAGUCAGACGGCCAGUUAGCCAGUCAGUCGGUAAGUUAGUCAGUCAUCCAGCCAGUCAGUCCAGGUUGUAAGCUAGCCAGCCAAUCAGUCAGUCCAGGUUGUAAGCCAGCCAGCCAAUCAGUCAAACUGAAAGCUGCUGAUUCAACGCAUGAUGCGGAGGGUAAAACAUCAGACUGUUCAGACAGAAAGAAAGACAGAAAGAGAAAAGAGAAAGAGAGAAAGAGAGGGGUCUUUAUCAACUUCCUCAAUGACUCAAGCCCCUCACAGCCAUUCCUCUAAACAAUGGAUCAGUGCUUCAUCUCGGGUGUUUGCUCUGUCAGACAGCACAGCGAGGCUCAGACUUGUCCCAGUGAGGGCAGACCUCCAUUCAGCAGUAACUGUUUGCUCAGGGAUCACUUUACAUUGCUCAUUACUUGUCUGCAGGAGGCUACUGGACUCACCUCAGCAAACAAACAGUCCAACAACCUUUAAAUGGUGAGAAAAUGUUGAAAGCAUUGGUCUGAGUUGCAACCGUUUUCUACUGCUGUCGAGAAAAAGAGCUCAGAGUAUGAGUUAUGAAUACGGAUCUACAUACACAGAUGUGCAUGCGUGCGCAUACGCGCAAGCGUCCACGUGAAACACUAUUGCAAUCCGUGAUACGUUUUUUGUAAAUAUUUGUUGUAUUUCACCGGAUUUACAAAUUGUAAAAUUAGGAUCCACAGAUGACACUCGGUUUUCUCAUCUGGACUAGUCUCAGCACUGGCCACACCAGUUUACAUUUUCUAGUCCGGCUUAGCAGGAAUUACAUUUACAUUUUUAAAACAGUAACAUGCAAAGUGAGAGCCGCCUUUUAGAUCAAGACAGAUUAAAAUUCUGAUAGGGCUAGUACAGGUUCAGAUUGAACAUUCUGAUAGGCCCAUUACAGGUUCAGAUUGAACAUUCUGAUAGGCCUAUUACAGGUUCAGACUGAACAUUCUGAUAGGCCUAUUACAGGUUUUGACUGAACAUUCUGAUAGGCCUAUUACAGGUUCAGACUGAACAUUCUGAUAGGCCUAUUACAGGUUCAGACUGAACAUUCUGAUAGGCCUAUUACAGGUUCAGACUGAACAUUCUGAUAGGCCUACUACAGGUUUUGACUGAACAUUCUGAUAGGCCAAUUACAAGUUCAGAAAGUUUGUACUGAACUAUAAUCAUGUGCACGUUUGAAGUACACAAAGCUACAGUAGAUUCUAUGAAUAUAAUGUAUGCAUUUUAAAUCGAUUCACAGGGUCUUUGGGUGAAGAGUUUCACCGGAACUCGUUAAACAAAAGCACAGAUCACAGACACUGCCUCUAAAUCGUACCAUCCACUUGUCUCAGCAGUCACAUGCGUCUCAAAUGGCAACACGGAGCCCUAUUGAGUGCACUAACUUUGACCAGUUAGGGGAUAGGUUGCCAUUUAGGAUACAGCCUCGAGUGUCUCUGGCAGCGUUGAAAGUGUGUGGGGGUGAGGUGUCGAGGACGGAGGAGAUACCGAGGCCUGUAAGAUGGAUGACGCUGCCACUUCCAAUCUCUUUUGUGUUGAUGUCCGUCACCAGGUGUCCAUGGGAACCCAACCACACGCACACACCCACACACACACACACACACACACAAACACACACACAUCUAUCGGCAUGUCCCUGCCAUUAACCACUCCCUAUCUGUCUUUCUGAGUAUUGUCCAAACAGCAAGCCAGCUCUCCUUGAGGACAGCAUCUUCUAAAACCUACUGUUAAAGUAACAUUUUCAUACAGCAGUAUAUGAUCGUUAGUGAAUCCCGCAAUCUCACAACUGUCUAAGUCCAACGUUGGAAAAUUUUAAGUGCAUUGGCCUAAAUCGUCCUUUAGGCCAAUUUGAA
ensembl:lncRNA